rnacentral:rRNA from 1 species
UACGUAGGGUGCAAGCGUUAAUCGGAAUUACUGGGCGUAAAGCGUGCGCAGGCGGCUAUGCAAGACAGAUGUGAAAUCCCCGGGCUCAACCUGGGAACUGCAUUUGUGACUGCAUAGCUAGAGUACGGUAGAGGGGGAUGGAAUUCCGCGUGUAGCAGUGAAAUGCGUAGAUAUGCGGAGGAACACCGAUGGCGAAGGCAAUCCCCUGGACCUGUACUGAC